rnacentral:rRNA from 1 species
UCAAGCGAUUAAGUGCACACGGUGGAUGCCUAGGCACAGAUCGGCGAUGAAGGACGUGGCAAGCUGCGAAAAGCCUCGGGGAGCUGCAAGCGAGCAUAGAUCCGGGGGUAUCCGAAUGGGGCAACCCGGCGGGGGUCGUACCCCGUCACUCCUUUAGGGGAGAGCGAACCCAGGGAACUGAAACAUCUAAGUACCUGGAGGAAAAGACAUCAAAAUGAGAUUCCCUAAGUAGCGGCGAGCGAACGGGGAUUAGCCCAAACCGGCGGGACUUGCGUCUUGCCGGGGUUGUGGGGCCUGACGUAUUGGAGUGAGGAAUGGAUAGCGGAACGCGCCUGGAACGGCGGACCAUAGGGGGUGAGAGUCCUGUACGCGAAAUCCUAGUACUCAAGCUAGUCAGGUACCCGAGUAGGCCGGGUCACGGGAAAUCCCGGUUGAAUCUGGGGGGACCAUCCUCCAAGGCUAAAUAUGAAUCUGUGACCGAUAGUGAAGAGUACCGUGAGGGAAAGGUGAAAAGAACGCCUGACGGCGAGUGAAAAGAUCCUGAAACCGUGUGCAUACAAGCGGUCGGAGCCUGGGUUUACCUUCGGGUAAGCAACGGGUGACGGCGUGCCUUUUGCAUUAUGAUCCGGCGAGUUACUCCUCGCGUGCGAGGUUAAGGCCUUCAGGGCUGGAGCCGAAGCGAAAGCAAGUCUUAAUAGGGCGACGAAGUACGCGGGGGUAGACCCGAAACCGAAGCGAUCUAUCCAUGGCCAGGGUGAAGCCGGGGUAACACCUGGUGGAGGCCCGAACCGUUGUAGGUUGAAAACUGCUCGGAUGAGUUGUGGAUAGGGGUGAAAGGCCAAUCAAGCUCGGAGAUAGCUGGUUCUCCCCGAAAUAUAUUUAGGUAUAGCCUCAGGAAGUAUCUGCGGGAGGUAGAGCACUGCAUGGGCUAGGGGCCUUACCCGGUUACCAACCCCAAGCAAACUCCGAAUGCCUGUUAGAUGAAUCCUGGGAGUCAGUGGGCGGGCGAUAAUGUCCGUCUGCGAGAGGGAAACAGCCCAGAUCGUCAGCUAAGGCCCCAAAAUAUGGGCUAAGUGAGAAAGGAUGUGGAUUUGCAAAGACAACUAGGAGGUUGGCUUAGAAGCAGCCAUGCCUUUAAAGAGUGCGUAAUAGCUCACUAGUCAAGUGCGUCUGCGCCGAUAAUGGUCGGGACUCAAGCCCAUUGCCGAAGCUACGAAUGGAAGUCAGGACUUGUCCUGAUAACAUGGUAGGGGAGCAUUCCCUAGGCACUGAAGCGGACCCGUGAGGGCUUCCGUGGAGCGUAGGGAAGAGAGUAUGCCGGAAUGAGUAGCGAUAAACAGAGUAAGAAUCUCUGUCACCGAAAGCCUAAGGGUUCCGGAGCCAGGUUCAUCCGCUCCGGGUUAGUCGGUUCCUAAGCCGAGGCCGAAAGGCGUAGGCGAUGGGAAACAGGUCAAUAUUCCUGUACCAGCGUAAGUGCGUUUGACCCUGAGGGGGGACGCGGGAGUGAAAGAACCGUCGGGUGGUGGAUUUCCGAUGUAAGGUGGUAGGUGUUUCCGGGGGAUAAAAGACCUGGAUAACCGAGCGCCGAUGCCGAAGGGGCCUUCGGGCCCCGCUAAGGGUUCGUAAUCAUACCGCCAAGAAAAGCCUCGUGGGGGAGUGCUUAAGCUGACCGUACCGUAAACGGACACACGUAGGCGAGGCGAGAAGCCUAAGGUGCGCGAGUGAUCCAUGGAGAAGGAACUCGGCAAAAUGUCCCCGUAACUUCGGGAGAAGGGGAGCCCGUGGUAGGUGAACCUCAUUGCGAGGGGAGCCGAAGCGGGCCGCAGAGAAUCGGCCCAGGCGACUGUUUAGCAAAAACACAGGUGUCUGCGAAGUCGCGCAAGACGACGUAUAGGCACUGACGCCUGCCCGGUGCCGGAAGGUUAAAUGGAGGGGUUAGCCGUAAGGCGAAGCUCUGAAAUGAAGCCCCGGUAAACGGCGGCCGUAACUAUAACGGUCCUAAGGUAGCGAAAUUCCUUGUCGGGUAAGUUCCGACCCGCACGAAUGGUGUAACGAGUGGAGCACUGUCUCAACGAGGGACCCGGCGAAAAUG